UUUUCCGCAAUGGGCAUGCUUAUGACGGAGCAAUACCGCGUGAGGGAGGAAGGCUCUUGGGUUGUAAACCUCUUUUCUCAGGGAAUAAAAAAAUGAAGGUACCUGAUUUAUAAGCAUCGGCUAACUCCGUGCCAGCAGCCGCGGUAAUACGGAGGAUGCAAGCGUUAUCCGGAAUGAUUGGGCGUAAAGCGUCCGCAGGUGGCACUAUAAGUCUGCUGUUAAAGAGCAAGGCUCAACCUUGUAAAGGCAGUGGAAACUACAGAGCUAGAGUACGUUCGGGGCAGAGGGAAUUCCUGGUGUAGCGGUUUAAUGCGUAGAGAUCAGGAAGAACACCGGUGGCGAAAGCGCUCUGCUAGGCCGUAACUGACACUGAGGGACGAAAGCUAGGGGAGCGAAUGGGAUUAGAUACCCCAGUAGUCCUAGCCGUAAACAUAGCAUACUAGGCGUGGCUUGUAUCGACCCGAGCCGUGCCGGAGCCAACGCGUUAAGUAUCCCGCCUGGGGAGUAAGCACGCAAGUGUGAAACUCAAAGGAAUUGACGGGGGCCGCACAAGCGGUGGAGUAUGUGGUUUAAUUCGAUGCAACGCGAAGAACCUUACCAAGACUUGACAUGUCGCAUAGCUUCUUGAAAGGGAAGAGUGCCUUAGGGAGCGCGAACACAGGUGGUGCAUGGCUGUCGUCAGCUCGUGUCGUGAGAUGUUGGGUUAAGUCCCGCAACGAGCGCAACCCUCGUUUUUAGUUGCCAGCAUUAAGUUGGGCACUCUAGAUUGACUGCCGGUGACAAACCGGUUUAAGGUGGGGAUGACGUCAAGUCAGCAUGCCCCUUACGUCUUGGGCUACACACGUACUACAAUGCUACGGACAGAGGGCAGCAAGCUAGCGAUAGCAUCGAAAUCCCGUAAACCGUAGCUCAGUUCAGAUCGCAGGCUGCAACUCGCCUGCGUGAAGGAGGAAUCGCUAGUAAUUGCAGGUCAGCAUACUGCAGUGAAUUCGUUCCCGGGCCUUGUACACACCGCCCGUCACACCAUGGAAGCUGGCAACGCCCGAAGUCAUUACUCCAACUUUUAGGAGAGGAGGAUGCCUAAGGCAGUGCUGGUGACUGGGGUGAAGUCGUAACAAGGUAGC
rnacentral:rRNA from 6 species